rnacentral:lncRNA from 1 species
CCCAGGUGGGCUCAGAGCUGGGAGGAACAGGGGGCUAGGACCCCCAGCGUGGGUUCGUUAGGCGUAACGAGCUCAUUAAGAGCAGUGCCAUGGGCUCUGGGCUUCCCUCCAUCAUCAGCCAUGGGAUGCAGCCUCCCCCAAUGGAACCAGGCCCAGGGGGCGGCCCAGGCGGGCUCAGAGCUGGGAGGAACAGGGGGCUGGGACCCCCAGCGUGGGGUCGUUAGGCAUAACGAGCUCAUUAAGAGCAGUGCAAGGGGCUCUGGGCUUCCCUCCAUCAUCAGCCAUGGGCUCUGGGCUCCCCUCCAGCCCCCUCCCAUGGAACCAGGCCCAGGUGGGCUCAGAGCUGGGAGGAACACGGGGCUGGGACCCCCAGUGUGGGGUCGUUAGGCGUAACGAGCUCAUUAAGAGCAGUGCGAGGGGCUCUGGGCUCCCCUCCAUCAUCAGCCAUGGGGUCCAUCCCCUUCCAAUGGAACCAGGCCCAGGGGGUGACCCCAGGUGGGCUCAGAGCUGGGAGGAACACGGGGCUGGGACCCCCAGCCUGGGGUCGUUAGGCAUAACGAGCUCAUUAACAGCACUGCAUGGGCUCUGGGCUCUCCUCCAUCAUCAGCCAUGGGGUCCAUCCCCUUCCAAUGGAACCAGGCCCACGGUGUGACCCCAGGUGGGCUCACAGCUGGGAAGAACACGGGUCUGGGACACCCAUCGCGGGGUCGUUAGGCAUAACGAGCUCAUUAACAGCACUGUGUGGUGUCUGGACUCCCCUCCAUCAUCAACCAUGGGGUCAGGGCUCCCCUCCAUCCCCUUCCAAUGGAACCAGGCCCAGGGGGUGACCCCAGGCGGGCUCAGAGCUGGGAGGAACAGGGGGCUGGGACCCCCAGCGUGGGGUCGUUAGGCGUUAACGAACUCAUUAAGAGCUCCGGGACCCCGGCGCUUACCUGGUGCGGGUUCCAGUCGCUGUCGAAGAUGAUGACGGUGUCGGCGGACUGCAGGUUGAGGCCCAGCCCGCCCGCCCUCGUGCUGAGCAGGAAGAUGAAAUACUCGGAGCCCGGCUCGUUGAACGUCUUCAGCAGCAUCCCCCGGUCCUCCGCCUUCGUGGUCCCUGCAACGCGCGGCCGCCGUUACCGGCAGGCGCCAGCAGGGGGCGCUGUGAGCAACGGGAUGGGGGAAAGGGGGGGUGGGAUGGAAGGGUCCUGGAAGGGCACUGAGACAUGGAAGGGUUGGGUUGGAUUGGAAAGGUCCUUGAAGGUCACAGAAUCAUAG